GACGAACGCUGGCGGCGUGCUUAACACAUGCAAGUCGAACGAUGAAGCCGGAGCUUGCUCCGGUGGAUUAGUGGCGGACGGGUGAGUAACACGUGACUAACCUGCCUCUUUCUCUGGGAUAACGCUCCGAAAGGAGUGCUAAUACCGGAUACUCACACCGAGGCACAUGCCUUGGUGUGGAAAGUUUUUCGGAAAGGGAUGGAGUCGCGGCCUAUCAGCUUGUUGGUGAGGUAACGGCUCACCAAGGCGACGACGGGUAGCCGGCCUGAGAGGGCAACCGGCCACACUGGGACUGAGACACGGCCCAGACUCCUACGGGAGGCAGCAGUGGGGAAUAUUGCACAAUGGGCGCAAGCCUGAUGCAGCGACGCCGCGUGAGGGAUGAAGGUCUUCGGAUUGUAAACCUCUUUCAGUAGGGACGAAGCGAAAGUGACGGUACCUAAAGAAGAAGCACCGGCUAACUACGUGCCAGCCGCCGCGGUAA
rnacentral:rRNA from 1 species